AUGAGUACUAGCUGUUGGAGUCGGUGUAAAGGCUCUAGUGGCGCAGCUAACGCGAUAAGUACUCCGCCUGGGGACUACGGCCGCAAGGCUAAAACUCAAAGGAAUUGACGGGGACCCGCACAAGCGGUGGAGCAUGUGGUUUAAUUCGAUGCAACGCGAAGAACCUUACCUGGUCUUGACAUCCUGCGAGCUUUCUAGAGAUAGAUUGGUGCCUUCGGGAACGCAGUGACAGGUGCUGCACGGCUGUUGUCAGCUCGUGUUGUGAAAUGUUGGGUUAAGUCCCGCAACGAGCGCAACCCCUAUUGAUAGUUACCAUCAUUAAGUUGGGUACUCUAUUGAGACUGCCGCUGACAAGGCGGAGGAAGGUGGGGACGACGUCAAGUCAUCAUGGCCCUUACGACCAGGGCUACACACGUGCUACAAUGGGUAUUACAGAGGGCUGCGAAGGAGCGAUCUGGAGCGAAACUCAAAAAGGUACUCUUAGUCCGGAUUGCAGUCUGCAACUCGACUGCAUGAAGUCGGAAUCC
rnacentral:rRNA from 1 species